AGUGAACGCUGGCGGUAGGCCUAACACAUGCAAGUCGAACGGCAGCACAGUAAGAGCUUGCUCUUACGGGUGGCGAGUGGCGGACGGGUGAGGAAUACAUCGGAAUCUACUUUUUCGUGGGGGAUAACGUAGGGAAACUUACGCUAAUACCGCAUACGACCUACGGGUGAAAGCAGGGGAUCUUCGGACCUUGCGCGAUUGAAUGAGCCGAUGUCGGAUUAGCUAGUUGGCGGGGUAAAGGCCCACCAAGGCGACGAUCCGUAGCUGGUCUGAGAGGAAGGUGAGCCAGCCUGGAACUGAGCGACGGUCCAGACUCCUACGGGAGGCAGCAGUGGGGAAUAUUGGACAAUGGGCGCAAGCCUGAUCCAGCCAUACCGCGUGGGUGAAGAAGGCCUUCGGGUUGUAAAGCCCUUUUGUUGGGAAAGAAAAGCAGCAGGUUAAUACCCCGCUGUUCUGACGGUACCCAAAGAAUAAGCACCGGCUAACUUCGUG
rnacentral:rRNA from 1 species